rnacentral:lncRNA from 1 species
CUCUCUCUCCAGGAAUGCUUAAAACUCUUUAAAACAUUAUGUCCCCCUCUAGGGAUAUCCAACAUGGUCACCACACCCCACAUGUACAUACACAACAUACAUCAUCAACAUCAACAUCAUCAUCAACAUCACACGCAAUCACAUUCCACAUACAUACAUAUAAAUUCAUGCCCGAGAUUCAUAUUCCUUAGGUCUUCAGGCAAUAUAAACCUCAUACAACAACAAUCU